rnacentral:tRNA from 1 species
CGCGGGGUGGAGCAGUUUGGUAGCUCGUCGGGCUCAUAACCCGAAGGUCGUCAGUUCAAAUCUGGCCCCCGCAACCA